rnacentral:rRNA from 1 species
UACGUAGGGUGCUAGCGUUGUCCGGAAUUAUUGGGCGUAAAGCGCGCGCAGGUGGUUUCUUAAGUCUGAUGUGAAAGCCCACGGCUCAACCGUGGAGGGUCAUUGGAAACUGGGAGACUUGAGUGCAGAAGAGGAAAGUGGAAUUCCAUGUGUAGCGGUGAAAUGCGUAGAGAUAUGGAGGAACACCAGUGGCGAAGGCGACUUUCUGGUCUGUAACUGACACUGAGGCGCGAAAGCGUGGGGAGCAAACAGG